AUGUCCUGUUAUCCAGGACCUCGUUUAAAAAAACACCAUCCGGGAGAUUUACCAGGACUCACUAGAAAAACACCAAAGUCCGGAAGUAACUUUAAAAAGAAAGUCAAUUCUGGGAAAAAGGAGCAAUAUCAUACUUGUCUUCAAGAAAAACUGAAAUUGCAUUUUCAUUAUGGUCCGAGAGAACGACAAUUACCUAUAUAUGUACAUAUCACUGGAAAAGCGAAAAGGUUAACCGGCCAGGUUUUACUUCAAUUACUUGAAAUGCAUUUGGAUAAUAUCCCUUUUUUGGUUAUGGCUGCAACCAUUCCUGGGGCCCACCAAUUAGUCAACCAUAGACAUAUUUUAGUCAAUGGUUGUAUAGCCAAUAUUCCAUGUUUUCGUUGCAAACUCCGAGAUAUUAUUACUACGAAAGAUAACCAAAGAUCAAAAGGUCUGGUUCAAAAUUACAUUGCUUCAUUGAACCCAGGGAAAUUUCCAAAGCAUUUCUCGAUUAGCACGAAUGAAUAUGAAUGACUAGAAAAAAAAUCCCUAGAUAGGAAGUGGGUCAGUCUCAAAAUAAAUGAGUUGUUAGUUGUAGAAUAUCACUCUCAUCAGAGUUGA
rnacentral:rRNA from 1 species